GCCUUCUCCAGCAUCAACCUUGUUUCACAUUCUCUAUUAGUGCUAACAAUCUUCCUUCAUAGUUUCUAUAGUACUAAACUAAUUUACAAGAGACACAAGAAUAAUGAACUUAAUUCAUGAGAAAUAAGGAGUACUAUAAAAAGAGCACACAAGGAAGUGAAAAAAAAGAACUUCAUUCAAGGGUAAUGAGAAUUACCAUAAUGACUAGUUGCCUUCAUCUUCUUUUAUCUGUUUUCACCUUCGCUUCUGGUAUUCUCUUGUAAUUAGUAUUAGUAAGAGAGCGAACAAAUAACUGAAAAAAGAAUUUCAUUCUAGGGGAACAAGAAAUGCCAUAAUGAUUACUUGCCUACCUCUGCUUAUUUGUCGUAACUUUGACUUCUGGUAUUCUCUUGUUCAUCCUCCCAACUCAUUUAAAGCUAUUAACUUUUAGUUUUAAAGACAAAGUAGCAUUUCAUGAAUUCUAAGAAUCCUAGAAAAAACAAUGCAUUUAUUUUUCAGCACACCUCUGACAUUUUUUUUGUUAUAUGAAAUGCGUAUAGGUAUCCAUGAUCUGUUUAGUCGUAUAUGGUCUACAUCACACUCCCCCGGUAAAAGGAAAUGCUAAGACCAGUCAUUGUUUUUUUUUCCUUCCUUCAUUAGCUAAAUGGUGUUCGUUGUUCUGCUUGAAAAUUUCACAGGCUUUCCUCCUUCUAUUUGUCUUUCCUAUAUUUUAUAUAGCCAUAUAUAUCUCUUUUGGCACCUUCUGAAUUACGAGCACAUACAUGAAGUCCAUUUGAUUAACACAACCAGUUCCAUGGGACAACAAUAGCCACAAAGUCUAAUUUAUGAACAAAACUUGUUUCAUCUGACAUCGACAAACAUAAAUUCAGAUGGAUGAAAAAACCUACACCAUUGGCUGCUCCAACAGAAUAAUUCCAAACUCCUUUUUUUUCCUACAUUUGUCGCUACAACCUUCCUGCUAUCAACUACAUUAGUUCUGGCUGCUAAAAUUAGUUCUUAGCAGUUAAAAUGAUACCCUCGGGUGGUAAUCCUAUCUUUCUUCAAAAGAAUUUUCUUAUUCCCCAUCUUCUCGUUUGCACAUUUGUUUUUAAUUCUCCAUGGAAGCAAAUCUUUGCUGCAACUUGAAGAUUAUUAAUUCCAAUAAUAUAAUUUAUUAUUAACAAUAACAUAAGAAACAAUGAACAAAUACAUGGAUUAGUGAACAAGUGUAUUAUAUGGAAUGAUAAACAUUAUUACUAGCUAACUACCCCAUAACCAAUCCUAGUCUAGUUUGAUAGGAAAACUCGAAAGAGCGCUAGUAGAUUGCUCAAGCCAACUAAGCCCGAGAGUGUAUAGCGUCCAAGUACAUGACAACUUUCUCCUCGGCCCACAAGUGGCAGGGUCGACCCACUAUGAAAAGCUCCAUCCCUUGUGGUAGUCUACUUAGUUCGAGGGAAUGGGUAAACUGCAUCUCCUAAGCUUAUUUUCUCCAACUUUACAUCUGAUUGAUUAUGGGAUAAAUGCAUACAUGAUUUAUACAUUUAAAGGAAUAUAAUGCCAUAUUAACCUUAUUAGGAUCAAUGUCAAAAAGAUAUCCAUACAAUAACUAAUGCACAAUAUACUCUAUCUCAUACCAAAUUAUUUGUUGAUUGCUUAGUUGGCUGUAUGGCCUGAAUAAUUCUUACUCAGAUCAGUUCUCCUUGAUCGAUGCUUAUUGAAUACCUUUCUCUUGUCUUUGCUUCUUGAAUGGACUAAUAUAUCUUAUUUUUUGCCUAAUAGAUUCAUUCUUUUAAUGCCACAUAAAAUUGUGAAGUCUUAUAAAUAAGACAAUUUUAAGACAAUUUUCUGAAUAUAUACUUAUUUAUGAAUAUCUGAUCUUAUUUGAUUGUUUGUCCUGUUUUCUCCAUCUCUCUUCACUUUUAUAUCCCUUCUUUCUCCUCCAAUUUAUAUCUUAAUUUUCCUUAUGGAGGUAGAUGUUCCUCUUAAGAGGGAUGCCUUUAUUUAAGAGUCAUACCCCUCGUUCAUAAACACUAGCUCUUUUAUCCUUAAUUGUCUUUGAUUAAUUCAUGCCUCUUCAUUCUAAUUGGUGGCCCAUUAUUUGUGCACUGCUAAUCACAACCCUAUUCGUGCCUAUCGAUAGUAUUAAAUAAAGCUUGUUGUUGUUUAUACAUCGCUCCAUUUUAUGGGUAUGGAUCGCUCACUUGACUUGUAGUAACCAUUGCUUAUUAAUAAUUGAUAAUAAUCGUUGAUCAAGGGCUUCAUUUAUCUUAGUUAAUUGGUAAUAAUCAUAAGCAUUGUUUUAUACAAAUUGAUGUCAUGCAUCGAUGCCUUUAUUGAAUUGUUGAUAUUUAUUAUAAUGUUCUAACUCAUUUGAGGUUCUAGGAAUGAUGAGUUAUAAGGGUUGAAAGCUUGGGGGCAUGCUAGUUCUCCCUUCCCAAAAUUCACUCGUCCUCAAGCAUAGUUAGUAUUCAUCAAAUCUUUUGUUACUAUGUAGAUCCAAAUCAACCCCUAGAGUUUAUAAUGCAAUUAAUUUCUACAACACAACUCUGAUAGUGCCCUAGUUGCAAUUUUGAACUAAACUCGUAAUAGUAGAAUCUAGAGUUAACAAAGUUCAUAAGUUUCUCCCAUGCAUAUUGUAAAGAGAUGAUUAGGCUGUACCCCACGUUUGAGCAAUAUUGUGGAUAUCUCUCAAUGUUAAGGCAAGACCUUAUACAUUAAGAUGAGGAUUAGAAGCAUGACGCACAUCUAUGUCCUUACCAAAUAGAUCAAUCAAUGAGUUUCUUUUUAUUGAUGAUAAACCAUACACAAUAAUAGCUAUCUAGGGUGAAAGGGUGAUAAAGUAGAGAUUUUAUAAUGUUAGGAACAUGUUUACUGAAUCCAAAUUGUUUGUGUGAUAGUUGUACCUUAAUACAAUUGUUUGAGAGAAGGUGUAAUUUUAGGAGUUUGACUGGUUUAAUAUUCAUAAAGAAGCUUAACAUAGUGACAUAUCACUGUGUGCUAUCUGGUUUUGGUAUUUUACUAGGUUUCAUUACUUGUUUUAAUCUUGAACAUGAUCUUAGCGAUGUUUCACUAUGUGUGAUUGUACAUUAGACAUCAUGCAAAGCAUAUUCAAGACGAAAGGCCUACAUUAUGAAGGCAUGCAUACACAUGAAGUUGCCAUAUGAAGCAUAUACAUAAAUAUACAUGCAACAUAGACAUCAAUACACGUAAGGAAUGGAAAUAAGACAUGAGGUCAUACAUAAAUACACAUAAGGCAUGAAGUAUACAUGUCAGACAUGUAGGACACGAAGCAUAAGAUACAAGUGAUACAUGAGAAAGGCAUUUAUGGAGUAAGCACAUUGUAAAUCAUCAGCGAUGAAGCGAAACAAAAAUACACUUAUGAUAUGGAGCAUUGAGACACAAAGCAUACAUGAGAAAGGUAUGUAAAACACAUAUGGAGUGAACAUGCAAAAAACUCAUUAGGCAUGAAUCCAACAUGUCAAGCAUGAAGCAUAUGCAUGAAUACAUUAGACAUGACUCCUACACAUGAAUACACAUAAGGUGUAAAGUAUGAAGUAUAUAUAUGAAUGCACAUAAGGCAAGAAGUGUCCAUGUAAGGCAUGAAGUAUACACAAGACAUGAUUCAUUCACAUAAAGACAUGGUAAAGCAGUAAGUGUACACAUGAAUACAUAUAAGGCACAUGAAGUAUGCACACGUAAGGUAUGAAUUAUAUACAUGAAUACAUGCAAGACAUGAAGUUUAAACAUGAAAACAUGUAAGGCACAUGAAGUAUACACGCGCAAGGCACAUGGAGUAUACACACGUAAGGCAUGGAUUAUUCACAUGAAUGCAUGUAAAGCAUGAUGUAUACACAUGUAGGGCAUGAAGUAUAUAUUUGAAAGGUACUUAUGGAGUAAACAUGUUGAAAAUACAUCAUUUGUGAAGCAAACACAUAAAUACACAUAAGACACAAGGCAUACAUAUAAAACACAUAUGCUAAAAAUAUAUUGGAUAGUAAGCAACAACACAUGGCAUACAUGAGAGAAGCAUGCAUAUAAAAUACACAUGGAGUAAGCAUGCUCAACAUGCAUUAGACAUGAAAUAGUUAAAGGCACACACAUACAAAAAUGCAAUGUUGACCUACUUGAAACCUAAGAGAAUGACUGUCAAAGUAGGUAUGUCCCACAAGCUGGCAAGAUUAAUGCUCUGAUACCAAUUGUAAUGUCCCCAAAUUGGGAUAAACUUGUUUGCGCCCAAAAUUGACAAUUCCAAGUAUAUAAUUUAUUCUUAACAAUAAUAUACUAAAGUAAAUUCAUUUAAUCAUUAAUAAACUUAAAAGAAACAAUGAACAAAUACAUGGAUGAGUGAACAAGUGUGUUAUAUGGAAUGAUAAACAUUAUUAGUAGUUAACUAACCCAUAACCAAUCAUAGUUUAGUUUGGUAGGAAAACUCCAAAGGGUGCCAAUAUAUUGCUCAACCCAACUAAGCUCAAGAGUGCGUAGCAUCCAACUAUGGCAACUUGCCCCUUAGCCCACAAGCGGCAAGAACGUCUCACUGUGACAAUUUCAAUCCCUUGGGGUGGUCUACUUAGUUCGAGGGAACCGUUAAACUGCAUCUCCCUAGCUUAUUUCCUCCAACUUUACAUUUGAUUGACUAUGGGAUAAAUAUAUACAUGAUUAAUACAUUUAAUGGAAUAAUGCUAUAUUAAUCUUAUUAGGAUCAACGUAAAAAAGAUAUCCAUAUAAUAAUUAAUGCACAAUAUACUCUAUCUCAUACCAAAUUACUUCUUGAUUGUUUAGUCGGCUGUAUGGCCUGAAUAAUUCUUACUUAGAUUAGAUCUCCUUGAUCAAUGCUUAUUGAAUUCCUUUCUCCUAUCUUUGCUUCUUGAAUGGACUGAUAUAUCUUAUUUUCUACAUAAUACAUUCAUUCUUUCAAUGCCACAAAAAAUUGUGAAGUCUUAUAAAUAAGAUAAUAUUUGAAUAUAUACGUAUUUAUGAAUAUCUGAUCUCAUUUGAUUGUUUGUCCUUUUUUCUCCAUCUCUCUUCACUUUUAUCUCCCUUCUUUCUCCUCCAAUUUAUAUCUUAAUGUUCCUUAUGGAGGUAGACGUUCCUUUCAAGAGGGACGCCUUUAUUUAAGAGUCAUACCCCUUGUUAAUAAACACCAACUCUUUUAUCGUUAAUUGUCUUUGAUUAAUUCAUGCCUCUUCAUUCUAAUUAGUGGCCCAUAAUUUAUGCGUUGCUAAUCACAACCCUAUUCUUGCCUAUCGAUAGUAUUAAAUAAAGCUUGUUUCCCAUCUCCCUUCUUUCUCCUCCAAUCUAUAUCUUCAUGUUAUUUAUGGAGGGAGACAUCCCUUUUAAGAGGGAUGCCUUUAUUUAAGAGUCAUACCCCUUGUUAAGAAACACUAGCUCCUUUAUUCUUAAUCUCUCUGAUUAACUCUGAUUAAUUCUUGCCUCUUCAUUAUAAUCAGUGGCCCAUUUUUUGUGCUGCUAAUCACAUCCCUAUUCUUGCCUAUCGAUGGUAUUAAAUAAAGCUUGUUGCUAUUUACACACCACCUGAUGUUAUGGGUAUGGAUCAUUGACUUGAUUUGUAGUAACCACUGCUUAUUAAUAAUUGAUAAUAAUUGUUGAUUGGUAAUAAUCAUAAGCAUUGUUUUAUACAAACUGUUGUCAUGGAUCAAUGCCUUUAUUGAAUUGUUGAUAUUUAUUGAAAUGUUCUAACUCAUUUGAGGUUGGUCAAGUAUCAAAACACCAAUUGGCCCUUCUAGGAGUUAUGAGUUAUAAGGGUUGAAAAAUCAGGGGCAUGACAUUUUUAUUUUAUUUAAUUAUCAAUGGAGUGUGCUCUUCUCCCAUUUCCAAUCUCAUCUCUUUAUUUUCAAGCUCUUUAUGCAUGGUCCAAUUGUAAUAUUGCACUUUAAGUUCACUCGCUUUUACUAUGUACCAUAUCCAUUUUCAUAUCACAACUUGUUUCAAGUACCAUCUCUUCCAAUGUUGCGCCAUUUUUGGUUUCAAAAUCCAUUUUACUAUGAGUUAAUUGUAUAGUUAUUUUCUAUUGUCAUAAUAGAUUUAUCAUGUACUCUCAUCUUGCCCAUUCCCAUGCUUUGAAGCUUGCUGCCUAUUGCUACCUUGUGUUUUACCGUAUACUUUUUUUUAAGAUGACUUGAGGAAACAAUUGCCUUCCUCUUUCCACAGUGACUUACUAGGUAAGAAAGUGAUUCGAAGGCAAAACACUUUGUCCAGUCCAUGGCUUUCCUACAAAUUUCUUUUUGAUAAUCUUGUUUUGAUUUCUUUUUGUGUCUAUAAUAACCGAAAGGGAGGCAACCACCAAGCAGAAUUGCUUUUUUUUUGUUUUUUUUGUAUGUGUUAUUUUGUUGCCGUAUUAUAAUGGAUACAGGUAUAUUUUCAUUUUAUGUAAGGAUCUUGAAAAAGAUGAACGGUGGCUCCUUUCCAUGAGCCUUUUUCGUAGUAGUGUAGAAAUCAAGGCGUUAGGGGUUUAUUGACAUAGCGCUAUUCUCAAAUCAAGUAGAACAAUAUUCUAGCGAUCUAUACAAUUUUUUGUUAAUUUAUUUUAAGAUUUUGUUUUUAUUUUCAGAUAAAUUUUAUCUUGUUUUUAGGUGAUGUUAAUUGAGACAAGGUUUGCAAUAUGGUGCUUAGUCUAUCGAUUAAUAAUCUUUUCGUUUGUAGAGGUGUAGGUCGAAGAAGAAUCUAUGUGUGGGUGAGAUGAAACUAACGUGCUUAUCAGUCAAAGUAAUAUUAAAAGAAUAUAAUGAGUCUUUACUUACUUCUGUCAAUUCUAUUUUUGAUGACUUUUGUUAAUGGUUUUAUAAGUGGAAGAUGUUAUACUUAAAACUGUGAGCAAAUUAAAUCAUGGAGGGAAAAAAAACAAAUAAUUAAAAGAGCAACUCGAGAAGCUCAGAGAGAAAGGAGAAUCUAGUGAUAAAAAUUUGGAGCAAUAAAAAACAAGCUGCAACACCUGAUUAAAAGUUUGUUGCAAUGAAGAAAAAAUGUGAUCAAAUGUGCAAAAUGAAUAAGAGCACGAACCAGACCCGAAAAAAUAUACGCUUAAGUUUAAUGAGGUGAAUGACUUCAAAAUUUGUUCGAUUUAUUCGAAGCCAUAAUAUAUGACAUGUUAUACAUUCAAAUGAGUUUUAAAAAGAACUCUAUUAUUUUUUAUCUAAGAAGAUUUCUAAUAUUCAUAAUUGUAGGAUUCUAGUUUCUUUCCAUAUGGUCAAUUUUUCAAAAUAUGAUGCAUUAUUGAUGUGAUUAGAAGUGUUGAGACUCGUGGAUCUAAGGUAGGUUGAAUUUGACUUAGAUUCCUUUAAAUCUUGUUAUGUGCCUUAAUUUAUGGUAUUGUAAAAUUUUUUCAAUUAAAUUAAAUUUUCAUAUGAUUGUUUACAAUGUCUAGUAUGUUCGAGUAAGGCUAUUUUACUUGAAAUAAGAAAUCAUUGGGUUAAACAAAUGGAGAAGGAAUUUAAUAGUAGAUUACUAUCUUAAAUUUUAGUUUCACACGAUUAUUUUAAAAUUAUAAAAUUAAAAUAUAUCAAUUUAUGAAACUACAUUAUUAGGAUCAUAAUGUACAUGUUAAAUUUCGUCCACCGUUUGUUUAAUUCAGUGAUUUCAUAGUUUAGUUAAAGUGGCCUUAUUCGAACAUUUCAUGUACAGUAACCAAUUAUAUGAAAGUUAAAUUUAAUUGAAAUUUUUUUACAAUUCUAUGAAUUGAAGACACAUAACAAAAUUUAAAAGAAUCUGAGUUAAAUUCAACUUACUUUAGAUUCAUGAGUGUCAAUAUUUUUAAUUACAUAAGUGAUGUACGACUUUUCCAAAAAUGACCACAUAGAAGGGAACUGAAGUUCCACAACUAUGAAUCUUAAAAAUCUUCUCACAUAAAGAAUAAUAUUUUUUUUUAAGAUCUAUUUGAAUGUAUAACAUACCAGAUAUUAUUUGUUUCAGAUUGAGUCCAUGGUUUUGAGCAAAUUGGGUAAUUCUUGAAAUCAUUAACUUGAUAAAUUUAAGUGCAUAUUUCUUCUCGAUUGUGAACUGCACUUUUUGUUUAUUGCACAUUUGAUCACAUUUUUAUUUCAUUGCAGCAAAUUUUUUACACAAGUGCUGUAAUUUGUUUUUUGAUUGCUUCAAAUUUCUAUCACUAGAUUUUUUGUUCUCUUUGGCCUUCUUCAGUUGCUCCUCUAAUUUGUUGUUCUAUCCUUCAAUGAUUUGAUUUGCUCUUUACCUUGAAGUAUAAGGCAUUUCAAUUUAUGAAACCGUUGACGAAAGUCACCAAAAACCAAAUCGACAUAAGUAGAGGGUCAUUAUUCUAAUUUCUUUUAUAUUGCUUUGACUAAUAGGUAUUAGUUUCAUCUUGUUUAGAUAUAGAUUCCUCUUUAGCUAUACCUCUACAAGCAAAUAAGAAUGUAAUGAAGUAGGGAAGCAGCAAGAGCAUGCAUAAGUGCCUUCACAACUUUUAAAAAAGAGAAAGUAUGAUAUUAAGUAUGCUCGAGUAGCACUUCUUUAGAAGAUAUAAGAGAUCACUAUGCAUCGCCAAUGAAUGUAACAGUAUAGUGGCGCUGGUGGAAGAGGGGUAGACAUUUUACAGAUUCUUGAUGGGGUAAUGGCAAGGUAGUGGAAGAAUGGGGCAUAAACGUCUCUAUUUGAAACAACAGAAUACAUUCACCAUCUUGAAGCUAAAUAUAGCCAGUGCAGAACAAAAAAGAAAUCGACUCUCACAUAUUGCAUGCAUGUUUGUCAAUAAAAAGAGGGUGGAAAUAUAUAUUUCAAAGAAGGGGUGAUAGCACUGAGUCUGCAGUUUUACAAAGCAAGGGUUGCUGAUUUUGGUGUUUCAAAGGUUCUCCAAGCUAGCAGAAAAGGAGCUAAUAAUGGAACAGUCUUCGUAGGCACUCACGGCUACGUUGCUCUUGGUACACAUGAUCUUCAUUUUCUUCCAUUUUGCAUAAAUUUGAGGUUUUUUUAGGGAUUCUUAGCCUUAAAAGAUUUUUAUAGAUAACUUUUCUCUGUAAGGGUUUCCUGUUCGGAAUGUUUCACUUGAAAGGCUUAUCUCACAAAUUAUCGUGCUUAUUGGACAGGAGGCUCACAAGGAUGUAGGCUUCUCCUCUAUGUUUUGCAUCUUCUGUUGUUCUGUUCUAUGAUCUUUCGUGAUUUGGUUCUUAUUAAAACUGCACAGGCAGGUCAUAAAGAGAUUAUAUUUGUGUCAAGAAUAAUCAAAAUUUGUUAAUAAAACUCAAAAGUGAAGCACCUCCACUGAAGCAUGGAGAGAUAAAUUUUCAUCCUUAGCAAAAGAGAAAUCGGUCAUUUUUCGGUCAUUUUUCUACACUUUAAGGAUACUGAUCCAUUCCUAGUGUUUUUGAAUUAUAUAUUUUACUAUUCCAAGGACAAAUAUGUAUGACCUAAGGGCCCUUUUAAUCUGUUAGAGUGUAUAUGAUUUGAGAUCCUGAUAUGCAUCUAUAUUAAGUCAUCUCUUCAUUUGCCAGUUUACAUGAGUAGUCAUUCCUUCAAUAACCUUUGAGAGAAGAUGUUAACAUGUCAACCUGGAGUUUUUCGCCUCUGGCUCUAAUCUUGUUCAAAAUUGGCAAAGCUUUUGCAUAUAUAAUCCUUAUAAACUUAUAUUGUCACGUAAUUCAUAUCGAUGUGGCUAAUUAAAUUGCGAAAAUUUAUAGUAUUUGUUAAUUUGCUGGAGCCUUGAUUGUCAACUUUUAAUUAGAUUUUCAUUUAUUUAUUUAUUUUUAAGAUGUUUUUAGCUUGUGUAUUAAGCUAUCUCUUCGAGGACCAAUUCCAGUGAGUUGUCAUUUCUUCUAUGACCUCUCUUCCAUAUAGAGGGCUAACAAUCAAGAGGAAUGGGGACUUAAAAAACACACAAGCACCUAUAACUGCUAUUUGUAUUGCAUCAACCUGGGAACUUUCGUCCCAAAGCCUGUUCCAUAUGGACAAAGCUUUUGGUGUUUGUGCAUUUCUUUUCCCUUACAAGUGAAAGAGGUAAACUUCAUUUGCAUGAUACAAUCAUAAUAAAAAUAAGUUACAACAUUUAAUUGCAAUAUCUUUUAUUUUUCAAUGGAUGCAGAUUGCAUGGUUGAACCAUGGAGUUGUCACAUGAUUCAAAACUACAACAUUCAGGCCUGGUCAUUGGGUUGAAAUAGCCCCGACCCUACAUAGAGAAAGUGAUGUAACCCGUAAUAGCCUCAAAGCACAUAGGAGCAAGCUGAACCAUGGAGUUGUCACAUGAUUCAAAACUGCAACAUUCAGGCCUGGUCAUUGGGUUGAAAUAGCCCUGACCCUACAUAGAGAAAGUGAUGUAACCCGUAAUAGCCUCAAAGCACAUAGGAGCAAGCUGAAAAAUAUCCCUGCUGCAUAUUUUGUUCGAUCUGUUGUAUAAAGACGGGCUUCAGGUAUUGAGCCAUUACAAGUGUUGACUACCAUGGAGCAGUAGGGGCUCCUAUUGUGUAUGGCAUCACUCGAUAUAUGACCUUCCAAAAUGUUGAGAGAUGGCUCAAGGAGUUGAGAUAUCAUAUUGAGCUUUCCAUUGUGGUGAUGGUUGUUGGAAAUAAGUUGGAUAUAGAGCACUUCAGAGCUGUAACUUCAGAAAAUGCUAAAACAUUUGCAGAGAAGGAAGGUUUUGUUCUUCAUAGAAAUAUCAGCACUGGAUUCAACAUAUGUUGAGGAAGCUUUCGCACAGAUUUUGAAUCAUUUUUACAUGGUUACAAGCAAGAAGACCUUGGAAAUCAGUGAGGAGCAGACAAAUAUUCUUGGAAAGGGUAACAGUUCAUAUUAAUAGUAAGAUAAAGUUACCGCAACUAAGAAGUCUGGUUGUUGUCAACUCUGAGAUCUUGGUUAUGUUUUGCUUAAUUAUACUUCUGUUCUCAAAUUUCUAAAUUUACAUUUAUUUUUGGCAAUCUUAUUUAUACUCUAUCAAUGUGUCUGUGAGGCUAGAAAUUGUAUGGAGAGUUCUCAUAGUCUCCUAUUUGUAUUUAUAUGCAGUCGUCUCCUAUUUCUUCAUUCAUCAUUGAUGAAGGAGCAUCAACCUAUUUCUUUUCUACGUGAUGUUUUAGCUAGGAUUUGUGUUCUUGGUUAAUAAAUUUGGUUUUUCUGAGUUGUUUGAAGUUGGUUGAAUGAAAUGGAAUCUGGAAUCUUGUCCAAAUUCAGUUGGCACAGUUGGGGGCUUUUGAGAUCAGUUUUUGACAUUCCUCCAUGUAAUGGUGUGGGAUCGGAAAAGAGGCAAAAAGGUAGAAACAGACAAUGAGAGAGAACGGAUUGGGAGUUUUUGGAGGAAGACAGAGCCAUAUUGCUUUGAAGAGAGAUUGCAGAAGAUGGAAUAGAGAAGGAAAGAGUCUUGGAUCUGGAGAAUAGAAAGUACAUGGAACGUUGAAGAAGAAUGGGCUAGUGAAGACAGUGAUAUCAAAUUCAAUGUCAGAUGAUUGGAGAAACAGAGAAAGAAAUGGUUCAGGCUGGGAGAAAAUGAUGCAAAACAGACAUCGAUGGGAGAAAAAGGAAUUGGGCAGAGCUGUGAGAGAGAGGGAUGGGAGAAGCCGUGAGAGAGUGAUAUCUGGAAAGAGAUCAGGCAGGACAGAAACAACAAGUGCAGGGAUUGUGUAAAUGACCGGCCUGCUGGAGUGAGUAAGAUUGUGCUUUGUGGUUUGUAAUCUUUCCAUUUUGUAUUGCAGAAAUAAACCGAGCACUUGGGAGCUCAUUGUCUGAUUUGUUGAAUGACUUUUUGUCUCAUAAUAUGUAUUGUCUGUUGCAUUGUUUUGAAGUUCCUGUCAUUUUUUAUAUACGUGUAUGCUAACUUUCUGCAAACAGUGAAGUGCUCUGUAAAUUUCUUUUGCAAAUUCAAGUUAUUGUCAUCUUUUUGA